rnacentral:rRNA from 1 species
AUGAGUUCUUCGUCAUCUUCAUCUGGCGACGAUGAACUCAUACUUGCAGCAUUCGCCGAGCGCGAGGAGGAAGAGAGGAAGAACGCUCGACGCCAUGGCGGUUCCAAGCAUGGACGUCAGUCAAUCGAUCGAGGAAGAGAUGCCGGAUUUCUUCUUCUGUGGGACGACUACUUCAAAGAAGUUCCUCGCUUUCCCAAACAUUUGUUUCGACGAAGAUUUAGGAUGUCGCGUACUUUGUUCAACCGCAUAGCUGAUGGUAUACUUGAGCAUGACUAUGAUGAUUAUUUUACGCAAAAAAGAAGUGCUUCUGGAGCUCUUGGGUUACAUCCUUUGCAAAAGAUGACCGCGGCGAUGCGGAUACUAACAUAUGGAAUAGCAGCUGAUUAUGUUGAUGAGUACAUCCGGUCCGCUGAGUCUACUAAUUUAGAGUCUUGCAAGAAAUUUGUGAUCAAAAUUUGUGAAGUUUUUGGGGAAAAGUACCUGAGAUCUCCAAAUGAAGAAGACAUUGCUAGGUUACUUGCAAUAGGGGAGGAAAGAGGAUUUCCCGAUGGUAUCUAUCCACGGUGGGCAACAUUUGUGAAGAGCAUACCAGCUCCAACUAGCAGAAAGCAUAAAACUUUUGCCAAGAAGCAAGAGGGGUCUAGGAAAGAUGUGGAACGAGCCUUUGGAGUUCUGCAAUCCCGUUUUGCCAUUGUUCAUGGACCUGCUAAAGGAUGGAAACGUAAAGAAAUCACUGAUGUCAUGAAAGCUUGUGUCAUAAUGCACAAUAUGAUAGUUGAAGAGGAGUGA